ensembl:lncRNA
CACCAACCCCUCUUUCUCUCUCUCUUUCUCUCUCUCUCUCUCUCAACAAGACCUUCAUACACCAACCCUGUCUUCUCCUCUUGUUCUAGAGAGGACUACAGUCCCAGUGAUCGAUCAAUAUUUAAUCUAUAUCUCCAACGCCGAGGGGCUUAGAGAGAGUACUGCUCAUCUCAAUGCUCAAUAAGUCAAAACGACAUUAACCUAGGCUCUGAUAGGACCCACUGCUCUUGACAGACAGGCCAAAUGAACAGGUUUCGCAUUAGUGUUUACAAUAAAACACAAUCAAAACCCCCUCAUCUAUCGGAUCCAGCGACAGCUUCAGUGUGUGUUCACAGAGCCAGAAACAAUCGCCCUGUAGGAAACUAAACACUGUCUUUAUCUGGGGAAACACACAUUUAAUUAUGAACAAACAUGAACAUUCAGCUUGACAGACUAAUUCAGAUACAGGCAUACAGUUUAUACAUAGUACAUGCAGAUUUGCACACACAAGUUCAAUGCACACACACACAGAUACUGAUGUCGCUAUGAACACACACAUACAGUCUGGCUAUGGGUUCUGACAGGGUGUCUCCAUUAAGAGAUCAUUGAGAUGGCGAGGGAUGAAAACUCAAAGGACAGGAAGGUGUUUGUCCUUGGUCAACCACCGUGGUUACGGAAAUGUACCAUCCAGGGGAUUUGCAUACAUUUCCCUAGCCCACACUCUGUUCCCUUCUCCUCUCUGUUGGUUUACCCAACACCUUCUCCUGGGAAAUUUGGAUACAAGGACGAGGCUGGAGAAAACAACCUUACCAAGAACAAGAAAAUGUAUUAGGAAUAUUCUAGUAGUAAUAAAUUAAUGUUGUGAUGCCUGCUGUAGAUUCACUUCUAUAAUUAAUGAACAUACUUAUGUUAAUCACACAGGUAUGAAGAAUUUCACUACAAUUCCCUCAAUCCAUAAUACACACACUGCAAGAACAACUGACACCACUACCAAACUGCAUAAGAGAUAAAUGUGUCUAUAGAUGUCUAUUAAUGUGAGUAUGAAUGUGUAUGAAUAUAUAUUAAUGUGUCCAUAGAAGUGUCUAUAAAUGUGUCUGAAUGUUUCUAUAGAUGUCUAUAAAUGUGUCUAUGAAUGUUUCAAAUAAUGUGUCUAUGAAUGUGAGUAUGAAUGAGUCUAUAGAUGUGAGUAUGAAUGUGUCUAUAGAUGUGAGUAUGAAUGUGUCUAUAGAUGUGAGUAUGAAUGAGUCUAUAGAUGUGAGUAUGAAUGUGUUUCUGAAUGUGAGUAUGAAUGUGUUUAUGAAUGUGAGUAUGAAUGUGUUUAUGAAUGUGAGUAUGAAUGUGAGUAUGAAUGUGUCUAUAGAUGUGAGUAUGAAUGUGUCUAUAGAUGUGUGUAUGAAUGUGUCUAUAGAUGUGAAUAUGAACGAGUCUAUAGAUGCGAGUAUGAAUGAGUAUGAAUGUGUCUAUAAAGGUGUCUAUAGAUGUGAGUAUGAAUGAGUCUAUAGAUGUGAGUAUGAAUGAGUCUAUAGAUGUGAGUAUGAAUGUGUCUAUAAAUGUUUCUAUGAAUGUGAGUAUGAAUGUGUCUAUAAAGGUGUGAAUGUGUUUAUGAAUGUAUAUGAAUGUGUCUAUAGAUGUGUGUAAAUGUGUUUAUGAAUGUGUCUAUAGAUAUGUGUGUAAAUGUGUCUAUAGAUGUGUGUAAAUGUGUUUAUGAAUGGGUCUAUAGAUGUGUUUAUGAAUGUGUCUAUAGAUUUGUGUAAAUGUGUUUAUGAAUGUGUCUAUAGAUGUGUGUAAAUGUGUGUAUGAAUGUGUCUAUAGAUGUGUGUAAAUGUGUGUAUGAAUGUGUCUAUAGAUGUGUGUAAAUGUGUAUAUGAAUGUGUCUAUAGAUGUGUGUAAAUGUGUGUAUGAAUGUGUCUAUAGAUCAGUUGCGACCCGUCAUUCAGGGCACUGUUUUGAGCCCUAUAGCUUGUUUUUUGUAUGUCAUUUUGGAAUUAAUACGUGUCAAAUAUUAGUUUGCAAAAAAUUUAGAAAACAAUGUCAAAAUAAUAAUCAUUAAGUUAAUAAAG